rnacentral:pre_miRNA from 1 species
AGUGAGUACAUCCAUUAAUACUACUCUAUCCGUCUCGUUUUAAAAAAUUUUUAUAAUUAGUAUUUUUAUUGUUAUAAGAUGAUAAAACAUAAUAAAUACCUUAUGUGUGACUUAUGUUUUUAAUUUUUUUCUAAAUAAGACGACAAUCAAAAUUAGGCACGAAAAAUCAUAGAUACACUUAAA